rnacentral:rRNA from 1 species
ACUAAGUUUCAUCAACGGAUCUCUUGGCUCUCGCAUCGAUGAAGAACGCAGCGAAAUGCGAUAAGUAAUGUGAAUUGCAGAAUUCAGUGAAUCAUCGAAUCUUUGAACGCACCUUGCGCUCCUUGGUAUUCCUUGGAGCAUGCCUGUUUGAGUAUCAUGAAAU